UACGUAGGGGGGCAAGCGUUGUCCGGAUUUAUUGGGCGUAAAGAGCGUGUAGGCGGCUAGGUAGGUCCGUUGUGAAAACUCGAGGCUCAACCUCGAGACGUCGAUGGAAACCAUCUAGCUAGAGUCCGGAAGAGGAGAGUGGAAUUCCUGGUGUAGCGGUGAAAUGCGCAGAUAUCAGGAAGAACACCCGUGGCGAAGGCGGCUCUCUGGUACGUGACUGACGCUGAGACGCGAAAAGCGUGGGGGAGCGAACAGG
rnacentral:rRNA from 1 species